UAAUAAAUAGCAACUUAAUGGAUUAUGUCCAUGGCCUAAUUUCAUUAUCAAUAAAAAUGCAAUUUUGCAGUAAGAGUGCUUCUCUCUUUUCCGGAAUACAAGGUGCGAAUCUUCUACUACUUGAUCACAAGUUAACCAAAUAACAAUAAUUAUUGCACAUGAAAGUGAAGAUAAAUGACAAAAUUUGCAACAGAAGUCUUCAGCGAAUUCAUCUUUAACUAACCCAAAUGGAAUAACAAUCACUUCAAUAGCAAAACUAAAGAAAGAAAGAAAAAAGAAAGUUGAUAACUGCAAAAAAAAAUAAAAAUACUAUUUCUUUCCCUUGAGCUAGAUCCGAAAAGCAAACAAAAGAUUAAAGGAUUAGAAUUCAAGAAAUUCGUCCUUGAUUACUUUAAGAAGACAGUGCAUUAGACACACGAGAUGAAAUUUCAGUUUUUCCAAUCACACAUAUAGUAGGCAUGAUAAAUUAAAUUUAGCAACAAUCACAAAAAAAACCACCAUUUAUCUCAUGAAUCUAGGCAUUCUAAUGAAAGAUGUGAGUUACAAGUUUAUAUUUGUGUACCUAAUUCUGCAAUGGUGAAAACAGGACUGUACCACGCCAAAUAAAGGCUGAAAAAAACAUAGCCAUAGGUUGAGCUCAGCUACUAGUUGAACCACACAGCAACAAAUAGUGAUAUCCAGCAAGCCACUUUUCUUGAUUUUGUCGCUGGGUUUUUUAUAACAAUUUGUGGCCAUUUGUUUUCCGGACUUUCAAGGCAGAAAAGAAGCCGUCAUGGCUUCUCUGUUCCGAGUCCUAAAGAAACAACGAAGUUUUUUUUUUCUUUUUUUUUUUGGGUUGUUUCAUUAAGAAGAUGUUGAAGCUCGGCUGGGGAAGGUUUAAGAAGAUGGAGUUUUUUGGGGGUCCAAUUCUGUUGGUCGGAAAUGGCUGAUCAAAAAAGAAGCGUGGGGAGGGUCCUUUUUCUUGAAAAGUUGCGCUCCUUUUUCAGAUGAAAAAUCAGCACUUAUUUUCUAGGUCUAGAUCGUUUUAUAGGUCUAAA
rnacentral:lncRNA from 1 species